GGAGAGAUGGCCGAGUGGUUGAAGGUGCAGUACUGGAACUGCUAUGUAGGCUUUUUGUUUACCGAGGGUUCGAACUCUCUUUCCG
rnacentral:tRNA from 2 species